AAUGAACGUUGGCGGCAUGGAUUAGGCAUGCAAGUCGAGCGAGAACCGUAGCAAUACGGGGACAGCGGCGAAAGGGAGAGUAAUGCGUGGAUAUCUACCUCCGGGCCUGGGAUAGCCGCGGGAAACUGCGGGUAAUACCAGAUAAUGUCUCCGGACCAAAGGUGUGAUUCCUCCGGGAGAUGAGUCCACGUCCUAUUAGCUAGUUGGUAGGGUAAUGGCCUACCAAGGCAAUGAUGGGUAGCAGGUGUGAGAGCACGACCUGCCUCAUUGGGACUGAGAUACUGCCCAGACACCUACGGGUGGCUGCAGUCGAGAAUCUUCGGCAAUGGGCGCAAGCCUGACCGAGCGAUGCCGCGUGCGGGAUGAAGGCCUCGGUUGUAACGCUGUCAGAGGGAGUGAAAUACGUCGGGGUUCGUCCCCGGGUUUCGGUACGAUAUCCUCAGAGGAAGGACGGGCGUAAGUUCGUGCCAGCAGCCGCGGUAACGUAGUCUACG
rnacentral:rRNA from 1 species